AAAACGGUCCUUUUCAGGACCACUCAUGACUUGAGUACAGGAUACU
rfam:Ixodes scapularis strain Wikel colony gcontig_1108379040786, whole genome shotgun sequence.